rnacentral:rRNA from 1 species
UACGUAGGGUGCGAGCGUUGUCCGGAAUUAUUGGGCGUAAAGAGCUUGUAGGUGGUUUGUCGCGUCUGCUGUGAAAAUCCGAGGCUCAACCUCGGACUUGCAGUGGGUACGGGCAGACUAGAGUGUGGUAGGGGAGACUGGAAUUCCUGGUGUAGCGGUGAAAUGCGCAGAUAUCAGGAGGAACACCGAUGGCGAAGGCAGGUCUCUGGGCCACUACUGA